GAACUUAAAGAGCACCAAUUAUGCUAAUAAAUUGGCACGUUAGCACGUAAAUGCAGUAUCCCAUAGUACAUACAUGUUAUUAAAACUUGAACUAAUGCAUUGUGAGUCUUAUAAAUUGCUUACAUACCUCACCGAUUUCCCACUGUCUGAAAAACGCUCGGUUUAGUUCCUGUCUCCGCCUCCCAAAAUGUCUAGUGUAAUCGGAUUGGUCAGAUGACUACUCAACUGUUAUUGGUCAGCUGGGUUCGUCGUGUGUUUGAAAGGUUACGCCCCUGACUACGUGUGGGUUGACACACCGGUUCUGACUGAGAGAGUCACAGCCUCAGAGGCAACGUAAACAAGCGUUAUAUUUCUCUAUAAACGAUGGUGUCUGUACUGCCUUACCACUUCGAGCUCGAUCCAGAGAGUUCAGAAGGCCGUUACGAUAUAAACGAUCUCCGUCAAUGAAUGCGAUUGGAUUUAACUUUUUUAGGUGUCCUUAGCUCUGCCAGAAUGCUAAACGAAGACGAAAAUGUGUUGCAAAGACAUCCAAAAGGUAAUUAUAACGUACUACAUAACUAUAUGGAAACACCAAAUGUAGCACAUAGAAAGUAUUUGUUGAAAUGAUUAUAAAACGAUUUCACUUGGUAAUUUCUACAUUAUUUUACUAUAGUAAAAUGUAUUAUAAAAGACUGUUUACAUACUCUAUUACUGUGCAAACUAUAUGGAAACACCAAAUGUAGCACAUAGAAAGUAUUUGUUGAAAUGAUUAUAAAACGAUUUCACUUGGUAAUUUCUACAUUAUUUUACUAUAGUAAAAUGUAUUAUAAAAGACUGUUUACAUACUCUAUUACUGUGCAAACUAUAUGGAAACACCAAAUGUAGCACAUAGAAAGUAUUUGUUGAAAUGAUUAUAAAACGAUUUCACUUGGUAAUUUCUACAUUAUUUUACUAUAGUAAAAUGUAUUAUAAAAGACUGUUUACAUACUCUAUUACUGUGCAAACUAUAUGGAAACACCAAAUGUAGCACAUAGAAAGUAUUUGUUGAAAUGAUUAUAAAACGAUUUCACUUGGUAAUUUCUACAUUAUUUUACUAUAGUAAAAUGUAUUAUAAAAGACUGUUUACAUACUCUAUUACUGUGCAAACUAUAUGGAAACACCAAAUGUAGCACAUAGAAAGUAUUUGUUGAAAUGAUUAUAAAACGAUUUCACUUGGUAAUUUCUACAUUAUUUUACUAUAGUAAAAUGUAUUAUAAAAGACUGUUUACAUACUCUAUUACUGUGCAAACUAUAUGGAAACACCAAAUGUAGCACAUAGAAAGUAUUUGUUGAAAUGAUUAUAAAACGAUUUCACUUGGUAAUUUCUACAUUAUUUUACUAUAGUAAAAUGUAUUAUAAAAGACUGUUUACAUACUCUAUUACUGUGCAAACUAUAUGGAAACACCAAAUGUAGCACAUAGAAAGUAUUUGUUGAAAUGAUUAUAAAACGAUUUCACUUGGUAAUUUCUACAUUAUUUUACUAUAGUAAAAUGUAUUAUAAAAGACUGUUUACAUACUCUAUUACUGUGCAAACUAUAUGGAAACACCAAAUGUAGCACAUAGAAAGUAUUUGUUGAAAUGAUUAUAAAACGAUUUCACUUGGUAAUUUCUACAUUAUUUUACUAUAGUAAAAUGUAUUAUAAAAGACUGUUUACAUACUCUAUUACUGUGCAAACUAUAUGGAAACACCAAAUGUAGCACAUAGAAAGUAUUUGUUGAAAUGAUUAUAAAACGAUUUCACUUGGUAAUUUCUACAUUAUUUUACUAUAGUAAAAUGUAUUAUAAAAGACUGUUUACAUACUCUAUUACUGUGCAAACUAUAUGGAAACACCAAAUGUAGCACAUAGAAAGUAUUUGUUGAAAUGAUUAUAAAACGAUUUCACUUGGUAAUUUCUACAUUAUUUUACUAUAGUAAACUUCAUUAUAAAAUACUGCUUACAUACUAUUUUACUGUGCUAUGUUUUUACUUAUUAGGUUUUAAGGAGAAUGCAACAGGUUCCAGGGCCUCUUACCUGCGUGAUUCAUCAUCCAGGUUUUGCACAAAUUGUCUAAAUCCCUACACACAGAACAUUUAUUGUACCGACUAUAAGCCUUUGAGGUGCAGGACUAGAAUAUGCUUGGAGCUUUCUGAUCGGAAUGUUGGCUUCCGACGACCCCUGCACUGAAGAUGGCAUGCAAUCACGUCCUCCUUUGAAGGUCUCUCAAACUGUGAUGCCAGGUCCAUUGGAAUCGGGGUUUCCUUCAGCUUAUCUUCAAAUACCUCAUCAAACACAAGCCUGAUCACAUCAUCCACAUAACUGUACAAAUAUUGCAGUCAAUAAAUCUUUUGUUUUGAUAAUUUAUUUCCCUGCUUCAUACAUUAAGUUUUUAAUUAUGAAUGUAUUUGAAAUAAAACAUUACUGCUUACAGU